rnacentral:rRNA from 1 species
CAUCAGGAAGAAAGCUUGCUUUCUUUGCUGGCGACCGGCGCACGGGUGAGUAACACGUAUCCAACCUGCCCUUUACUCGGGGAUAGCCUUUCGAAAGAAAGAUUAAUACCCGAUAGCAUAAUGAUUCCGCAUGGUUUCAUUAUUUAAGGAUUCCGGUAAAGGAUGGGGAUGCGUUCCAUUAGGUUGUUGGUGAGGUAACGGCCCACCAAGCCUUCGAUGGAUAGGGGUUCUGAGAGGAAGGUCCCCCACAUUGGAACUGAGACACGGUCCAAACUCCUACGGGAGGCAGCAGUGAGGAAUAUUGGUCAAUGGGCGUUAGCCUGAACCAGCCAAGUAGCGUGAAGAAUGAAGGCUCUAUGGGUCGUAAACUUCUUUUAUAUAAGAAUAAAGUGCAGUAUGUAUACUGUUUUGUAUGUAUUAUAUGAAUGAGGAUCGGCUAACUCCGUGCCAGCAGCCGCGGUAAUACGGAGGAUCCGAGCGUUAUCCGGAUUUAUUGGGUUUAAAGGGAGCGUAGGUGGACUGGUAAGUCAGUUGUGAAAGUUUGCGGCUCAACCGUAAAAUUGCAGUUGAUACUGUCAGUCUUGAGUACAGUAGAGGUGGGCGGAAUUCGUGGUGUAGCGGUGAAAUGCUUAGAUAUCACGAAGAACUCCGAUUGCGAAGGCAGCUCACUGGACUGCAACUGACACUGAUGCUCGAAAGUGUGGGUAUCAAACAGG